rnacentral:rRNA from 1 species
GCUCAGGAUGAACACAUAGCGACAGGCUUAACACAUGCAAGUCGAGGGGCAGCGGAGGUGUAGCAAUACACCUGCCGGCGACCGGCGCACGGGUGAGUAACACGUAUGGAACCUGCCCCCGGCCGGGGGAUAAGCGGAAGAAAUUCCGUCUAAUACCGCAUAAUGCAGCGCUGAGGCAUCUCGGUGCUGCCAAAGGAGUGAUCCGGCCGGGGAUGGACAUGCGGCGCAUUAGUUAGUUGGCGGGGUAACGGCCCACCAAGGCGACGAUGCGUAGGGGUUCUGAGAGGAAGGUCCCCCACAUUGGAACUGAGACACGGUCCAAACUCCUACGGGAGGCAGCAGUGAGGAAUAUUGGUCAAUGGGCGGAAGCCUGAACCAGCCAAGUCGCGUGAGGGAAGACGGUCCUAUGGAUUGUAAACCUCUUUUGCAGGGGAGCAAGGCGCCUUACGUGUAAGGCGUUGGAGAGUACCCUGAGAAAAAGCAUCGGCUAACUCCGUGCCAGCAGCCGCGGUAAUACGGAGGAUGCGAGCGUUAUCCGGAUUUAUUGGGUUUAAAGGGUGCGUAGGCGGGCUGGUAAGUCAAGCGGUAAAAAUGCGGUGCUCAACGCCGUAGUGCCGUUGAAACUGCCCGGUCUUGAGUGAGCGAGAAGUAUGCGGAAUGCGUGGUGUAGCGGUGAAAUGCAUAGAUAUCACGCAGAACUCCGAUUGCGAAGGCAGCAUACCGGCGCUCAACUGACGCUGAGGCACGAAAGCGUGGGGAUCGAACAAGGAUUAGAUACCCUGGUAGUCCCACGCAGUAAACGAAUGAAAUGCUAACUGUCCGGUCCGAUUAAGGGCUGAGCGGUAAAGCGAAAGCAUUAAGCAUUCCACCUGGGGAGUACGCCGGCAACGGUGAAACUCAAAGGAAUUGACGGGGGCCCGCACAAGCGGAGGAACAUGUGGUUUAAUUCGAUGAUACGCGAGGAACCUUAUCCGGGGCUCAAACGUCACCCGGACGGUCUGUGAAAGCAGACUUUCUUUUCGGGACUGGUGACGAGGUGCUGCAUGGUUGUCGUCAGCUCGUGCCGUGAGGUGUCGGCUUAAGUGCCAUAACGAGCGCAACCCCUAUCGACAGUUGCUAACAGGCAAAGCUGAGGACUCUGUCGAGACUGCCGGCGCAAGCUGUGAGGAAGGCGGGGAUGACGUCAAAUCAGCACGGCCCUUACGUCCGGGGCGACACACGUGUUACAAUGGCAGGUACAGCGGGAAGCCACGGGGCGACCCGGAGCAGAACCCGAAAACCUGUCUCAGUUCGGAUUGGAGUCUGCAACCCGACUCCAUGAAGCUGGAUUCGCUAGUAAUCGCGCAUCAGCCACGGCGCGGUGAAUACGUUCCCGGGCCUUGUACACACCGCCCGUCAAGCCAUGGAAGCCGGGAGUGCCUGAAGUGCGUCACCGUAAGGAACGCCCUAAGGUAAAANGAAGUGACUGGGGCUAAGUCGUAACAA